rnacentral:rRNA from 1 species
UGGGGAAUUUUCCGCAAUGGGCGCAAGCCUGACCCAGCCAUGCCGCGUGCAGGAUGACGACCCUAUGGGUUGUAAACUGCUUUUAUAUAGGAAGAAAAUACUCUUGCGAGAGGAUCUGACGGUACUAUAUGAAUAAGGACCGGCUAACUCCGUGCCAGCAGCCGCGGUAAUACGGAGGGUUCAAGCGUUUUCCGGAUUUAUUGGGUUUAAAGAGUGCGUAGGUGGUUUAUUAAGUCAGUGGUGAAAUCCUGCAGCUCAACUGUAGAACUGCCAUUGAUACUGGUAAACUUGAGUUUGGUUUAGGUAAGCGGAAUUUAUGAUGUAGCGGUGAAAUGCAUAGAUAUCAUAAGGAACACCAAUAGCGAAGGCAGCUUACUGGACCACAACUGACACUGAGGCACGAAAGCGUGGGUAGCGAACAGG